AAGAUUUAUCUUAAGUCAAACUAUUUUAAGUUUGACCAAGCUUAUACAAAAAGGUACCAAUAUUUAGAACACCAAAAAAUUAUUUUAUGAAAGUAUAUUUCACGAUAAAUCUACUGAUAUUUAUUUGGUGUACUAGAUAUUAGUAUAUUUUUAUAUAAACUUAGUCAAACUUUGAAUAGUUUGACUUAAGACAAAGCUAA
rnacentral:pre_miRNA from 1 species